rnacentral:lncRNA from 1 species
GAUCUGGGAAAGGUUGCGCCUCAUUGCAGAGUUGAAGCUAUCUGCCUGCUUUGUUUACACGAACGCCCUUCCAGGACUCUGUCUGCUUUUGGGGUGGAAGUGCCCUGCCAAAAACUCCAGCUCUCCAUGCUGGCUGUGUGGCCAGCAUACCUCCUGCCUUUUCAACGAUUCCUCUGCCCUGGAUAGAGAGCGGUGUCUCAUAACAGUUUGGAAACUACAAAAGUUUCCCUGGCAGGAUGAAUGAUUGACUCGGCAACAUGUUCUUGCCUUUUGGAGUUGCCCUCCAAUUUUUCCAGGCUUGAUUCUGUAAAUCAUUUCAUCUUGUAAAAAUACUGGGCUGUGAGCACGGAUGAUCUCAAAGAUGAGGAAACAGAAGCUGGGAUAUGUGAGUAAACAUUUCCAAGGUCCUGCAGCUAAUCAAUGGUUGACAACUUCUUUCCUCUGCCUAUGUUGCCAUCCAUGUCAUGGUUUGUGUCAAGACUCUAGGAGAAGUCUACCAUCAGCACCACAGCUACUGUGCACAAAUCCAGAAUGCCAGACUGAAGUCAGAAGGAAAGGACCUGGCUUUUAAAAAUGGUGAAGGGAAAUGUUCUUAUCACCCAUUCCUGUCAGAGAUGAUGCAGCUCAUUGCUGAUGCUGAGAUCCAACGUCCAGUGCCUGAGUACCCCUGGAUUCUGAGCACUAGGGGCUGGACUGUGGAGACCAUCAGUUCAUAACAUCCUGUCCCUGCUCCCUGCUGUAGAUGACUGAGACCAGGAAAAAAAGCAUCUCUCUGAAGUUAAAUGGCAUUUCAUUUUGAUUAAUUGUAGAAAGAAGAUUGGAAAAAUCUCCCAUGACCAAGGAAAAUUGUGAAAAAUAUUUCUGAUAUUUUGUCUAUGCAUUUUAUUUUUGAGGGUGUUUUUUAUAUUAGUGUGACUAUUUUGUAUUUCCUACCCUGUUGUAAACUUUUUAAAAAUUGCUCUUACAGUUAUUACUAAGUAUAUGAUUUAAAAUCCCUAAUUAGGGUUCUUAAACAAGGGAGAAGCACUCUCAUACCCCUAGAACAAGAUGAACAAAAGAAGGAGGAAAAAUCUUGACCUCCGUAAGAUCCAGGAUGGCACGUGCAAGGCACUGACACAGCAUCUGCCGGCAUCACUGACUCUCCUGGACCCCAGAAGCCCAGUUCCCCAGGCUCUGAAACCCUGCAGCAAUGAAAAGGAAGCACAGGCAAACCAUAAGGAAGAUAAUUUUUCUACUAAAAAAUAAAUAGAAAUGCAUCCUUAGAGGCAGGUUUCAUGAGGACACAGAGAAUCCGGUUUUGUGUGUGCCUGAUUUCGUUUUUCUGUCAAAGAGAUACAAAACAAUCAACUGAGUUAUCUUGAACUUACAAAGAUUAAAAAUAAUCAAUUCCUGUUACUAUUUUCAAUUUUUCCCCCAUUUUACUUCUUUAGGUAUGAAGAAAUGUAGCCUAUUAAAACCUGGAUUAAUAAAAACCUUUCAUUAACUUUUAGAA